GAUUUCUGGUUUGACAUGCCUGGCCCGCCGGGGUCACCUGUGUGAGUGCCGGUGCGCGUCUACCAUCCUUCUGCAAAACGGUCUUACCCUUCACUGGGCCGAGGUCGCGAUGCAGAUCUUUUACUUUGAAAAAAUUAGAGUGUUUAAAGCAGGCUUACGCUGUGAAUACAUUAGCAUGGAAUAAUAAUUUAGGACUUCGGUUCUAUUUUGUUGGUUUCUAGAAUGGAAGUAAUGAUUGAUAGGGAUAGUUGGGGGUGCUAGUAUUCAGUGGCCAGAGGUGAAAUUCUCGGAUUCACUGAAGACUAACUUAUGCGAAAGCAUU
rnacentral:rRNA from 1 species